AAAAACUCCACAUCCUGCAGUCUAACAUGAAUACCUGGUUAAGUUUCCACAGUAACAACAAUGCCAAAUGUGCAUCAGUGAUGGUCUAAAACAUGGCUACAAAGAGUAAAUCAACACACUGGAGUGCCAGAGGCCGAGUUAAAUGUACAAGGAAAACAUUGUCACAGUUUGAAGAUUGGAUCUAAUACCUAGUUUGAAUCUGAUGAUUCUACUAGAUCUGUAACGUCGGUGCCACAGUUUGAAGAACCUAGCAUGGAUGAGGAAGGCCUAGGCACCAAAGAGAUGGGGAAAGGAUCCUACAGUUACAUAACAGAAAGUCUCCCAUAUGUGGAAAUAUCCUUUGGGGGAAACUUGUAAAAGGCCACGAAUCCCUUAAAAUGUGCAGUUCAUGCCCUUUUACCCCUUUCAUCGCAAGAUCAAUAUGUACACAAGAGAGACUUAAAUCUGUAUUUCACACCUGAUUUUGUAUUGCAUGAUCAUUCAGUUGGGGCAAUUGAGAUUUUUCUGGAUGGAAGAUUGGCUGAUUGGCAUUCAUCACCUAUAUUUCUAAAUUCUAAACAAAACAAAAUAUGAAUUUACAGGAAAAAUCAAAUUUUAAUGAGAGGAUUUAUCUUUCUCCAAAUUAAUAUCAUACAGUUAAAUAUAUAAUUCAACUUUGACUGUUUAACUGAUUUAUUUUGGUCAAAUAAU